GGCGUAAUAUUUUAAUUUAAAAUAUUUGUUUUACACACAAAUGAUGGGUAAUUUACUCCGUCGCUA
rnacentral:tRNA from 1 species